GACGAACGCUGGCGGCGUGCUUAACACAUGCAAGUCGAACGGAAAGGCCCUGCUUUUGUGGGGUGCUCGAGUGGCGAACGGGUGAGUAACACGUGAGUAACCUGCCCUUGACUUUGGGAUAACUUCAGGAAACUGGGGCUAAUACCGGAUAGGAGCUCCUGCUGCAUGGUGGGGGUUGGAAAGUUUCGGCGGUUGGGGAUGGACUCGCGGCUUAUCAGCUUGUUGGUGGGGUAGUGGCUUACCAAGGCUUUGACGGGUAGCCGGCCUGAGAGGGUGACCGGCCACAUUGGGACUGAGAUACGGCCCAGACUCCUACGGGAGGCAGCAGUGGGGAAUAUUGCACAAUGGGCGGAAGCCUGAUGCAGCAACGCCGCGUGCGGGAUGACGGCCUUCGGGUUGUAAACCGCUUUCGCCUGUGACGAAGCGUGAGUGACGGUAAUGGGUAAAGAAGCACCGGCUAACUACGUGCCAGCAGCCGCGGUGAUACGUAGGGUGCGAGCGUUGUCCGGAUUUAUUGGGCGUAAAGGGCUCGUAGGUGGUUGAUCGCGUCGGAAGUGUAAUCUUGGGGCUUAACCCUGAGCGUGCUUUCGAUACGGGUUGACUUGAGGAAGGUAGGGGAGAAUGGAAUUCCUGGUGGAGCGGUGGAAUGCGCAGAUAUCAGGAGGAACACCAGUGGCGAAGGCGGUUCUCUGGGCCUUUCCUGACGCUGAGGAGCGAAAGCGUGGGGAGCGAACAGGCUUAGAUACCCUGGUAGUCCACGCUGUAAACGGUGGGUACUAGGUGUGGGGUCCAUUCCACGGGUUCCGUGCCGUAGCUAACGCUUUAAGUACCCCGCCUGGGGAGUACGGCCGCAAGGCUAAAACUCAAAGGAAUUGACGGGGCCCCGCACAAGCGGCGGAGCAUGCGGAUUAAUUCGAUGCAACGCGUAGAACCUUACCUGGGUUUGACAUGGAUCGGGAGUGCUCAGAGAUGGGUGUGCCUCUUUUGGGGUCGGUUCACAGGUGGUGCAUGGCUGUCGUCAGCUCGUGUCGUGAGAUGUUGGGUUAAGUCCCGCGACGAGCGCAACCCUUGUUCACUGUUGCCAGCACGUUAUGGUGGGGACUCAGUGGAGACCGCCGGGGUCAACUCGGAGGAAGGUGGGGAUGACGUCAAGUCAUCAUGCCCCUUAUGUCCAGGGCUUCACGCAUGCUACAAUGGCUGGUACAGAGAGUGGCGAGCCUGUGAGGGUGAGCGAAUCUCGGAAAGUCGGUCUCAGUUCGGAUUGGGGUCUGCAACUCGACCUCAUGAAGUCGGAGUCGCUAGUAAUCGCAGAUCAGCAACGCUGCGGUGAAUACGUUCCCGGGGC
rnacentral:rRNA from 1 species